rnacentral:lncRNA from 1 species
GAAGAACUCAUGAAAACACAGAACUACUAGAUGAUGCUUCUCAGAUCAGAUGAAGGCCGUCAGGUGUCUCCUGUCUCUCCACAAACACGCACUGCAGCUGUCGUUCCUGAGGGGAUCUUCAUCACUGGAAUAGGAUGGACUUCCGUAACACGUCUUGUCAGAAAUAAGGAUGAGGAAAAAGAAAGGAAGAAGGAAAGGAAGGAAAUUAAAGGAAGCCAAAGAGGUAAGCGAUUAAGAUCGACGGAUGUUGAAUUGUUUAGAAUAGAAACCCCAUAAAUUAGACACCCCGUUUGCAUAUUCAUGGCAUUAGAUGAUAUGCUAAUACAGUUAAUUUCCAUUGUGGCUACCUCCUGUUGCGAGGCGCUUCACGCUCAGUUUGUUUGAAUGAAGUGGGAAGAGAAAAGGGAAAAGGAGG